GCUCGUUCAGCGCUCACAGCAGGCUCUUGAUGUCAGCGCUUGCACAAUCCCUCUGCCAGACUUAGGGCCCAGCUCCAAUUGGAUUGGACUGAUCGGAUUUCUUUCUGCUCUAAACUGGGAAGCAGGGUGGCUCGCAAAAGGCAAAUGCCACCUGACUUUUCUGGGCUGCCAUCUGCUCCGUGCCCUGCAGUCGGGCAGGACCGAAGGGCUGUGGGUGCACAAAUUGGCCACCAAGGGCUCCUGUGCUGGGCUUUGGGAGCCCGAGAAGAGCCCCAGAGCAGCUGUUCCUGCACUGUGUGAGCCACUACAUCUGUCCUGCUGCAAACGCAAGGAUUGACUGCAAGAGACAAGAUGCACAACCUGAAAUGAUGCUGUAAAACAUCUUUAUUAGCUCACCGUAGGACUGGAAGGACAAAAGCUUCCAGGUAGAACUCUGUCCAAUGAAAAAGACUCACAGGAAAAAUGGUCAGGAAGCUGUUUAUGAACUGCAAACACCCAGUGCUAAACAACAAAACUCCCAGCUGGGCAAGAAGCCCUUCCUGGUGUCCUGUGCUGCCUCACCACGCCUGGGAGUGAGGAGCCCCUGCAGGAGCAGCUGGGGCACAGCUGGGGCACAGCUGGGGCUGUUGGGGGCUCAGGGGGCUGCCCAGGGCUGGCCUCGGGCACUGCCCUGAGCUGGUCUCACCCUCUGGAGCAGCUCCCCCUCCAGCACCCACACACACAAGGGGUCAAAGCCUCCUGGUGCUCCUGGCCAGGUGGGGACACAGCAGGAACGGUCCUGCAGCUCCUCUCGGGUUACUGCGUUGCUGAUUGUGCUCAUCUGGAAGCACUUCCUUCCUUCCUGAUGCUUCAGGGAGAAACAUUUCCUUACAGUCCAGGAGGUUGUUAAGAAAAGGCACCAUUCAGUGUUUUGAAUGCUUUGAAACAAAGCCACUGCAAACAC